rnacentral:rRNA from 1 species
AAUAGAUACCCAGGUAGUCCACGCCGUAAACGAUGAGUGCUAAGUGUUAGGGGGUUUCCGCCCCUUAGUGCUGCAGCUAACGCAUUAAGCACUCCGCCUGGGGAGUACGGUCGCAAGACUGAAACUCAAAGGAAUUGACGGGGGCCCGCACAAGCGGUGGAGCAUGUGGUUUAAUUCGAAGCAACGCGAAGAACCUUACCAGGUCUUGACAUCCCGCUGAUCGGCCUAGAGAUAGGCUUUUCCCUUCGGGGACAGCGGUGACAGGUGGUGCAUGGUUGUCGUCAGCUCGUGUCGUGAGAUGUUGGGUUAAGUCCCGCAACGAGCGCAACCCUUGAUCUUAGUUGCCAGCAUUCAGUUGGGCACUCUAAGGUGACUGCCGGUGAUAAACCGGAGGAAGGUGGGGAUGACGUCAAAUCAUCAUGCCCCUUAUGACCUGGGCUACACACGUGCUACAAUGGACGGUACAGAGGGUCGCAACCCCGCGAGGGUGAGCUAAUCCCAUAAAACCGUUCUCAGUUCGGAUUGUAGGCUGCAACUCG